UGUGUGUUAGUGGAAGCGUCUGGAAAGGCGCGCGAUACAGGGUGACAGCCCCGUACACAAAAAUGCACAUGCUGUGAGCUCGAUGAGUAGGGCGGGACACGUGGUAUCCUGUCUGAAUAUGGGGGGACCAUCCUCCAAGGCUAAAUACUCCUGACUGACCGAUAGUGAACCAGUACCGUGAGGGAAAGGCGAAAAGAACCCCGGCGAGGGGAGUGAAAAAGAACCUGAAACCGUGUACGUACAAGCAGUGGGAGCACGCUUAGGCGUGUGACUGCGUACCUUUUGUAUAAUGGGUCAGCGACUUAUAUUCUGUAGCAAGGUUAACCGAAUAGGGGAGCCGAAGGGAAACCGAGUCUUAACUGGGCGUUAAGUUGCAGGGUAUAGACCCGAAACCCGGUGAUCUAGCCAUGGGCAGGUUGAAGGUUGGGUAACACUAACUGGAGGACCGAACCGACUAAUGUUGAAAAAUUAGCGGAUGACUUGUGGCUGGGGGUGAAAGGCCAAUCAAACCGGGAGAUAGCUGGUUCUCCCCGAAAGCUAUUUAGGUAGCGCCUCGUGAAUUCAUCUCCGGGGGUAGAGCACUGUUUCGGCAAGGGGGUCAUCCCGACUUACCAACCCGAUGCAAACUGCGAAUACCGGAGAAUGUUAUCACGGGAGACACACGGCGGGUGCUAACGUCCGUCGUGAAGAGGGAAACAACCCAGACCGCCAGCUAAGGUCCCAAAGUCAUGGUUAAGUGGGAAACGAUGUGGGAAGGCCCAGACAGCCAGGAUGUUGGCUUAGAAGCAGCCAUCAUUUAAAGAAAGCGUAAUAGCUCACUGGUCGAGUCGGCCUGCGCGGAAGAUGUAACGGGGCUAAACCAUGCACCGAAGCUGCGGCAGCGACGCUUAUGCGUUGUUGGGUAGGGGAGCGUUCUGUAAGCCUGUGAAGGUGUGCUGUGAGGCAUGCUGGAGGUAUCAGAAGUGCGAAUGCUGACAUAAGUAACGAUAAAGCGGGUGAAAAGCCCGCUCGCCGGAAGACCAAGGGUUCCUGUCCAACGUUAAUCGGGGCAGGGUGAGUCGACCCCUAAGGCGAGGCCGAAAGGCGUAGUCGAUGGGAAACAGGUUAAUAUUCCUGUACUUGGUGUUACUGCGA
rnacentral:rRNA from 1 species